UACGUAGGUGGCAAGCGUUGUCCGGAAUUAUUGGGCGUAAAGCGCGCGCAGGCGGCUUCUUAAGUCUGAUGUGAAAUCUCGGGGCUCAACCCCGAGCGGCCAUUGGAAACUGGGAAGCUUGAGUACAGAAGAGGAGAGUGGAAUUCCACGUGUAGCGGUGAAAUGCGUAGAUAUGAUGGAGGAACACCAGUGGCGAAGGCGACUCUCUGGUCUGUAACUGACGCUGAGGCGCGAAAGCGUGGGGAGCAAACAGG
rnacentral:rRNA from 1 species